UUCUCCCUACGGGACGCAGCAGUGGGGAAUAUUGCACAAUGGGGGAAACCCUGAUGCAGCAACGCCGCGUGAAGGAAGACGGUUUUCGGAUUGUAAACUUCCGUUCUUAGUGAAGAAAAAUGACGGUAGCUAAGGAGCAAGCCACGGCUAACUACGUGCCAGCAGCCGCGGUAAUACGUAGGUGGCAAGCGUUGUCCGGAAUUACUGGGUGUAAAGGGAGCGCAGGCGGGAAGCCAAGUCAGAUGUGGAAACUAAGGGCGUAACUUGGAGACUG
rnacentral:rRNA from 1 species